AGUGGCGGACGGGUGAGUAACACGUAAGAAUUUGCCUUUAGGAGGGGGACAACAACUGGAAACGGCUGCUAAUACCCCAUAUGCUUUCGAGUGAAAUGGAUUUUUCCGCCUAAAGAGAAGCUUGCGGCUGAUUAGCUUGUUGGUGAGGUAAUGGCUCACCAAGGCGACGAUCAGUAUCUGGUUUGAGAGGACGAUCAGACACACUGGAACUGAGACACGGUCCAGACUCCUACGGGAGGCAGCAGUGGGGAAUUUUCCGCAAUGGGCGAAAGCCUGACGGAGCAAUACCGCGUGAGGGAUGACGGCCUAUGGGUUGUAAACCUCUUUUUUCAGGGAGGAAUCAAAUGACGUGUACCUGAAGAAUAAGCAUCGGCUAACUCCGUGCCAGCAGCCGCGGUAAGACGGGGGAUGCAAGUGUUAUCCGGAAUCACUGGGCGUAAAGCGUCUGUAGGUGGUCCAAUAAGUCAACUGUUAAAUCUUGGGGCUCAACCUCAAAAUCGCAGUCGAAACUAUUAGACUAGAGUAUAGUAGGGGUAAAGGGAAUUUCCAGUGGAGCGGUGAAAUGCGUAGAUAUUGGAAAGAACACCGAUGGCGAAAGCACUUUACUGGGCUAUUACUAACACUCAGAGACGAAAGCUAGGGUAGCAAAUGGGAUUAGAUACCCCAGUAGUCCUAGCCGUAAACAAUGGAUACUAGA
rnacentral:rRNA from 1 species